AAACAUGAAUCAUUCCUUCUACGCUCUCAAACUUAGUUGAAAAGAAAUCAUCAUACUCUCAUAAACUCUCAUAUUCUCACAAACCUCAUAAAACUUCAUCAAUGGCUUCCCAAAUCGUUGUUAAAAAAUGACCUCCACGUGGAAUGACUUCCAUGAAGAAUAUCAUUCGAUCAAGAAGUAAGGAUGUGAAUAUAGAAGUUCAAUGGAACUCUAAAGGCCAACCAUUAAACUCAAAGGGUGGCAAUGCAUUGGUAAGCUACAUUGGAGGUGUUGUUAAGCAGAAUGUGAAACUAACAUUCAACAAAUGGAGUAAUAUAGGGAAUACCGUGAAGGAGC
rnacentral:lncRNA from 1 species